rnacentral:rRNA from 1 species
GACGAACGCUGGCGGCGUGCUUAACACAGGCAAGUCGAACGGAAAGGCCCUGCUUUUGUGGGGUGCUCGAGUGGCGAAAGGGUGAGUAACACGUGAGUAACCUGCCUUUGACUUUGGGAUAACUUCAGGAAACUGGGGCUAAUACCGGAUAGGAGUUCCUGCUGCAUGGUGGGGGUUGGAAAGUUUCGGCGGUUGGGGAUGGACUCGCGCCUUAUCAGCUUGUUGGUGGGGUAGUGGCUUACCAAGGCUUUGACGGGUAGCCGGCCUGAGAGGGUGACCGGCCACAUUAGGACUGCGAUACGACCCAGACUCCUACGAGAGGCAGCAGUGGAGAAUAUUGCACAAUGGGCGGAAGCCUGAUGCAGCAACGCCGCGUGCGGGAUGACGGCCUUCGGGUUGUAAACCGCUUUCGCCUGUGACGGGGCGUGAGUGACGGUAAUGGGUAAAGAAGCACCGGCUAACUACGUG